GCGCCCUUAGCUCAACUGGAUAGAGCACUGGAUUUCUAAUCCGGAGGUUGCAGGUUCGAUUCCUGCAGGGCGCGCCA
rnacentral:tRNA from 1 species